rnacentral:lncRNA from 1 species
CCCUGAAUAAUGGUUAAAAUUUACUUUAAAAGAUCCUUUUCAAUAUUUUGAAAGGAAAAUUUAAAUGGAUAGAUGACCUACAACAUCAUGCAAACAAUUAAUUAUGGCCGACAAGCUUAGUUGAUGAACGAUUAGUAAAGUGAAAAGUGUUUUUAGUGGAAACAAACAAAUUAGUUGAUCACAAGUGAGCAGACUUACAAACCAAGUAUGUUCACGUAACCGGCAGGAAAUUCAUCACCAUGCUUGAAAGAAAAUAUACUCAAUAUUUUCUCUAUAUGAGAAUGUUUUCAAUUAUUCCAUAUUACUCCUCUAAUCGUCUACAUUGAAUAUCUGUAUUAAGUGCACUUAACUGAAGCCCUGCACCAUGGUGACUUUGAAACUAUCGCAAAUAAAGCUAUUAAGAUUCUACAAACCA